UGAACGCUGGCGGCAUGCCUUACACAUGCAAGUCGAACGGCAGCACGGGGGCAACCCUGGUGGCGAGUGGCGAACGGGUGAGUAACAUAUCGGAACGUGCCCUGGAGUGAGGGAUAACUAGUCGAAAGACUAGCUAAUACCGCAUACGAUCUACGGAUGAAAGUGGGGGAUCGCAAGACCUCAUGCUCGUGGAGCGGCCGAUAUCUGAUUAGCUAGUUGGUGGGGUAAAGGCCUACCAAGGCAUCGAUCAGUAGCUGGUCUGAGAGGACGACCAGCCACACUGGGACUGAGACACGGCCCAGACUCCUACGGGAGGCAGCAGUGGGGAAUUUUGGACAAUGGGCGCAAGCCUGAUCCAGCAAUGCCGCGUGAGUGAAGAAGGCCUUCGGGUUGUAAAGCUCUUUUGUCAGGGAAGAAACGGUGAGGGCUAAUAUCCUUUGCUAAUGACGGUACCUGAAGAAUAAGCACCGGCUAACUAC
rnacentral:rRNA from 1 species